UGUUUGACGGGUGCGCGCGGUUUGUGUGUGUGCCAUGCUGUGUUCUACAAUGCUUCGUUACCACGUUUAUCGAUUAUGCACGUUGGUUACGUGAUUCAAUAUCAAGUGUACCUUCCAAGACGAUCUAGGUCCUAGUCUCGUGACUGACGGCGAGUGCGGACGUACAGCAGCCUUUUGACAAGACUGUCGCCGAGUGUACGGUACAUUGUGGACUGUAAAGCUGAAGAGUGCGCAGUGGAUGCCUGAUUUUGGUAAGUUCUAGAAUAUUUCUGAAUUACACAGCUAGGUUACUUCAUUACAUGACGUCUUUUACGCAGGAACCGAGUAUGAUCGUCUGGGCGGUGUGUUCACUCUGCGGGGAUGAUGGCCAGAGGAAGGAUGAUAGACAGACGACAGCUUGCAGAAGAAGAUGGGAGCGUUCUACCUGUGAGCCUGGUCGAGUUUAUAUUUUAUGGAUACACAUGCAUGGAUACACAUACAUGGAUUCCCUACAAGGACCCUGCGCAUCAAAAGCAAUCUGUCAUCAAUGUUAAGUAGACAGAUUAAACGAAACGAAGAUAUGACAGGUGUACACCAUAUUUUUCUUUCAUUUAACCUCUGCAUGUU